ACAAUGGGCGCGGCGCCCGAGCCCCUGACAGCGCCAUAAAUUGGCCGUGCAAAGCCGAGCGCUAGGUGGUCCCCCCUGGAGAAAAGAGCCGCCGCCGAGGGCGCGAAAAGGCGAGUCCGGAAGCCCGCCAGGGAGCCAGUGGCGCGUUUUCCAGAUCACCCUGUUGGAACUUAGCGUAGCAGAGGAAGAACACCAUGGAAUAAGGAGAAAGGAGAUACAAGUAGCCUCUCCAGGAAGAAUGUGACUGAAUACUUUUUAUACAAAACCACAAAAUUAGAUAAAUAUGUAUUUAAGUGUUAUUCCUGAAAGCUGGAGAAAGAAAUCUUACUUCUAAGAAUUGUUUAGCGAAGGAAUAAGAAAAUGUGAUGCUUGGAAGAAAAAACACACUGCCGAGAGGCCUUGCGCUGAGUGUGCUGAACAAUAGACAACCUCUAAGGAUGCUCGCCUGCAAUUCCGGCUCUGCCAUCAAUUCACUGUAUGCCUUUGGAAACUUGAAAAUUACACAUCUGACUUAAGUCUGUGGGAGCCACAGUGCUCUAGAGGGUCUUGCACUGGCAAUUGAAUGCUGCACCUCAUUGGCUAGAAUCAGUCACAUGACCACACCCAAUCUCAGGAAGGCCAGAAAAUGCAAUCCCACAAUGCAGCUGGAAGACAGCUAACUGGAAAUCAAUGCUGAGAAGUCCUAAGAAAUGCCACAGGAAGAGAAAGAGGCAGGGGGCCGGCAGAGGCCAGAACAAAUUUUGGAAAGUAUAUUUAAGAUCAUCUGGGUUAAAUACGUGUUACCCGACAUCCAAAAAUUACUUGGAAAGCCCUUGAGAAUACCUCCAGGAUCUAAGCAGUCAACCUCUAAAGCAACCAUUAAUAAAAUGGAGUCAUGAGACUGCCCUAUAACAGCUUGUGGAGAAAGAAAUGUCUCGCAUAUCACAAUAGUGUGGACAAAGAAGAUCAGCAACAAUUUGGGCAAAAUACAUACACACACGCACAUACACACACACACACACACACAAAGACAGACAUUCGCUAACUUUGGUUUGCUAUUGAGCUGCUUCUUAUCUGGGCAAUUCUACAUAGUACACUCUAGGAUACCAAGCAACUAUUUGGGCAAAAUACACACAUACACAUACAAAUACACACAUACACAUACAAACACACACACACACAUACACAGGCAGACAUUCGCACACUUUGAUUUGCUAUUGAGCUGCUUCUUAUCUGGGCUACUCUGUGUAGUACACUCCGUGGUGAGAAGCAACAGGGAUUUAUUGAUUGAUCAGUCAAUGAGUAUUGUUCUCCUGAGAAAAGCUGAGAGGUCGGCAAGUGCACGCAAAUGUGCAGAUCAUCUACAAGACAUGAAUGAUGUUCAGAAUUACUUGUCAUGCCCUUUGCUUGGGGCUGAAAACAAGAUGCAGUCACACAGAUUUCAAUGGAGUGUGUACUCUAGAGGCAGACUGCCUGGGAUCAAAAUGCUUGCAGUAUAACCAUUGACAGCUUCCAUAACUUAUCUCUUCCCAGUAUGCAACUAAGACAUGCCUGAGUGAAGUUUCCUAGGAGCCAGAUAAUUAAUCCAACAUUUAUCUGAAAUGCUGAACUAACUUGCAUAAUUCUUCAAAUGAAUAUCACACCUUCGAUGGGGACAUACAAAUUGUUUCAACCUGAGGCUUGAAAAUAUGUGUCAUAAAGCAUUCUGAUUUAUCAAGAACACGUUGUAAUUUGUUGCAUUUGGAAUGUAGCUACCUAACUUCCUGAAUAUUUUAAUAAAAUACCUGUAAAAUUACACAAUCAAAACUAUACCUCCACCAAGCAAAGUGACAGAGAUGGUACUAACAUCAACAAAAAGAAUCUUUCCAACCAUGUAAGGUUGUAAUGUUAAAUUCCCAUUCACGAUCAAAAUUCCACAUAUUUACAACCUGCAAACAUCCCAAAUUCACACUUCAACAUCUGUGUGGCUGCCAACUUCUACUGAAAUCUGUAGCAUGCUUUUUUAGAAGUGGAGGAAAAAAGAAUAAAAAA
rnacentral:lncRNA from 1 species